CACACGUAGUACAUCACGCUCUGGCCCGCCAUGAAGUGCUGCUCCGCCGUCUCCAGGAAGCGCUCCAGGUACUUCUCCGGUUCUUAGAGGAACUGGACACCAGGAGCCUCAUACCAGGACUGCCCAGCCGAGCCACUCGAUUCCUGACCCACAUGGCCCUUGAGAUGACAAGUGAUUGAUUGCUGCUUAAAGUCACUGAGUUCUGGAAUAAUUUACAUCAUGGCAAUAGGUAACUAAUGCAGAUUCUGGUACCUGGAAAAGGAGUGCUGACAUCAAACAGCUCUAUAGAUGUGGGCGUGGCCUCAGAACUGGCCACAGGCAGGAGCCAGAAGGACUCUGUGGAAAGCGUGAGUGUCUAAGGUGCUUUGAGAGACUGUAUAUAGAAGUCUCAUGGCCUUUAGGGAAGCUGCUGGGGAGUCCUAAAGGAAAGUGAGGAAACUCUUAGUGGAGAUUGGAAGAAACAGGGUCUCUGUUAUGAAAUAAAAGAACAUUUUGUAAAAAUGUGGUUGGUAGCAGAAAUGUAAGUUGAAUGUACCUCAUGAAGUGGGUGGUCUAGCUAAGGAGAUUUUCAGGCAGAAUGUGGAAGGUGUUGCUUGGCUUCUUACUGCUGCUCACAGUAAAAUAGGAGAGAGAGAAGGUAAAAACAAACAAACAAAACUGUUCAACAUAAAGGAACCGGGAUCUGCCGGUUUUAAAAAUGCCCAGCCUCUCCAGAUGGCACAUGAUGCUAACAUUAAGAAAUGGUUUCUAGGCAAAGAUCAAAUUCAGGGCACAGUUAAGAAAACAUGGUCUACAGAUUAAACUUAGGAUGUGACUUAAAUCUUUUUGUGAAGACUUCAGAAAGAUCUAAAGUGAUGCCUCAAAGAGC
rnacentral:antisense_RNA from 1 species